UGGGGAAUAUUGGACAAUGGGCGCAAGCCUGAUCCAGCCAUGCCGCGUGAGUGAAGAAGGCCUUCGGGUUGUAAAGCUCUUUUGUCCGGAAAGAAAUCCUGUCGGCUAAUACCCGGCGGGGAUGACGGUACCGGAAGAAUAAGCACCGGCUAACUUCGUGCCAGCAGCCGCGGUAAUACGAAGGGUGCAAGCGUUACUCGGAAUUACUGGGCGUAAAGCGUGCGUAGGUGGUUCGUUAAGUCUGAUGUGAAAGCCCUGGGCUCAACCUGGGAACUGCAUUGGAUACUGGCGAUCUGGAGUGCGGUAGAGGGUAGCGGAAUUCCCGGUGUAGCAGUGAAAUGCGUAGAUAUCGGGAGGAACAUCCGUGGCGAAGGCGGCUACCUGGACCAGCACUGACACUGAGGCACGAAAGCGUGGGGAGCAAACAGGAUUAGAUACCCUGGUAGUCCACGCCCUAAACGAUGCGAACUGGAUGUUGGGUGCAACUUGGCACUCAGUAUCGAAGCUAACGCGUUAAGUUCGCCGCUGGGAAGUACGGUCGCAAGACUGAAACUC
rnacentral:rRNA from 1 species